GGGGAUUUGGCUUAGUGGUAGAGCGCUUGCCUAGCAAGCGCAAGGCCCUGGGUUCGGUCCCCAGCUCCG
rfam:Rattus norvegicus chromosome 15, whole genome shotgun sequence.